rnacentral:rRNA from 1 species
UACAGAGGUGCCAAGCGUUAGGCGGAAUCACUGGGCUUAAAGCGCGUGUAGGCGGGUCGUUAAGUGGCCGGGGGAAAUCCCACGGCUCAACCGUGGAACUGCCGGGCAUACUGGCGAUCUUGAGGCAUUCAGGGGCGAGCGGAACAAAUGGUGGAGCGGUGAAAUGCGUAGAUAUCAUUUGGAACGCCAAUGGUGAAAACAGCUCGCUGGGAAUGAUCUGACGCUGAGACGCGAAAGCCAGGGGAGCGAACGGG